GAGUCAAACUUCUUCCAGUACCCUUAAUGGCAUAAAUCCAAAAUAAGCGACCAGAUUAUAUAAGCCAGUUAGAGCCUUAAAUCUUAAUAGACAGCUGAGAAUUUACAUCGUCCUGUUUCAUUUACAGAGAUAAAUUCUGCUGCUCUUGGUGGGAUCCAAACGUGUUCUCCCCACUGUAGGUCAUGUAAAGAAAACCAUCUCAUCCUUGCUAUCCUCAUAGAUUGCGGACAUCAAUGCAGCAGUUGGAGGUAAAGUAUUAUUCACAAACACAAAUAUAGCCUUUUCAGCACUGAGAUUAAUCCUUUUCCGGACAACAUAGACAAACUGUCCCACAGUCAAAUCAGCUGGCACAAGAUACUUCUUCUUAUCAAUAUCAGGAACAUCACUCCUUUCAGCCUUCUCCACAAUUACAGGUAUUCUGUCAUGAUACUUCUCCAUGAUGCGAGCAGCUUCUGCUUGCCUCCUCUCCAAUGGAUGUUCCAUCUUGAAUGAGCUUUUAGCCAUGGACACAGCCGACCUUCAAUUACAGUUCUCCAACACGAAACGAGAGAAAUGGAUGGGGAAAAUUAGGGUUCCAAAGAGAACCGAUUGAUUGAUCCAAUCGAAGGUUAUGAAAAGAAGGACCCAAAUUUUCAAUAUCAGAGAGAAUUAUUGGGCAUUCCAAAAGAAAAAUAUUAUCUUCAAUUUAAUAGAGAUGAAACUUAUUAGGGUUUAA
rnacentral:misc_RNA from 1 species